UUGAUGACUCAGGUAUCCUCACAGCCGAAGCAUGAGACUAAUCCUGAGGGCCCUGAAGUUAACGACCGGGCAAACCUCCAGUGGCCCGCACAGUAACCCGUGGGGAGUGGGAUUCGAACUUGGGACCUCCAGGAGGAGCAAACUCCCAGACCCCAGGUUUUCUUCCCUCACCCACUGGGCCACCCUUGCGGGUUCUGUGGUCUAAGGGUUUGUUGAGUUGAGUUGAGUUUUUGAGGUCUGGGGACUCUGAUGGUGUAUCAUUCUUGUUCACAUCUCUUGUAAUUGUAAUGAACGUUAGUUAAUAUGGAGGCUUUGGAAUGAGGGCAUAAUUACUUUACAUCUGCAGGGCCCUUUAGGUAAUUUGGACAACUGAUGAACAAAUUUGAGUCUGAAGUUUGGUGUGCUCAUCAAGUUUCAUUAUAGUCAUCUGCUCCGGUUGCGGUGUCCUAUAUGUUGGCGUUUAUAUUGGGAGAGCAAACUUUAGGGUACUUUGUUAAUAAAGCUGGAGAAUUAUCUUAGGACCUUGUUCCGUGGAAUUUAAUUUUUUCAGAGAACUCAAUUUUGUUGAAAAAACAUUGCAGUUUUAUAUGAGGAUUGUGUGAAGCCUUAGAAUCUUGAGAUUCUUUAUUAUCGGCGUUAAAUUUGUGGCACACCGAGUAUAGUUGGUAUUUAGUGGCAUCUUCGAUAAGAAAUGACUGGUACAAUUUAUAUCUUA